rnacentral:lncRNA from 1 species
CACAUUUAAAAUGAAAUCGCAAUAGAACUGUUAUAUGUUAUAUGUAACGGCUGCUUUGAACUGGGUAAAGUACCUGAGCAAUGGACCCAAGGGAUAGUUAAUCCAAUACUCAAACCAGGAACACAAGACAACCGACUACCAUCAAAUUACCGGGGAAUAACGCUUGUGUCCGUACCCAGUAAGAUAUAUUGCAGUGUACUAAACAACCGCC